rnacentral:tRNA from 1 species
GCUCCCAUCGUCUAACGGUUAGGACGCGGCCCUCUCAAGGCCGUAGUACGGGUUCGAUUCCCGUUGGGAGCG